UACGGGGGAGCAAGCGUUGUUCGGAUUCAUUGGGCGUAAAGGGCGCGUAGGCGGCUUGGCAAGUCCGACGUGAAAUGUACCGGUUCAACCGGGGCACCGUGUCGGAAACUGCCUGGCUUGAGGCCGAGGGAGGAUGGGUGGAAUUCCUGGUGGUAGCGGUGAAAUGCGUAGAUAUCAGGAGGAACACCCGUGGCGAAGGCGGCCAUCUAGUCUCGGAUCUGACGCUGAGGCGACGGAAAGCCUGGGGGAGCAAACGGG
rnacentral:rRNA from 1 species